rnacentral:rRNA from 1 species
UACGGGGGGAGCAAGCGUUGUUCGGAAUCACUGGGCGUAAAGGGAGUCUAGGCGGUUUGGUAAGUGGGAUGUGAAAUCCCCGGGCUCACCCCGGGACCUGCAUCCCAAACUGCUGAGCUUGAGUACAGGAGAGGGUGGGGAAUUCCAGGUGUAGCGGUGAAAUGCGUAGAUAUCUGGAGGAACACCGGUGGCGAAGGCGCCACCUGGCCUGCUACUGACGCUGAGGCACGAAAGCGUGGGGAGCAAACAGGG